CCUACGGGAGGCAGCAGUGAGGAAUAUUGGUCAAUGGACGAGAGUCUGAACCAGCCAAGUAGCGUGAAGGAUGACUGCCCUAUGGGUUGUAAACUUCUUUUAUAUGGGAAUAAAAUGUUCCACGUGUGGGAUUUUGUAUGUACCAUAUGAAUAAGGAUCGGCUAACUCCGUGCCAGCAGCCGCGGUAAUACGGAGGAUCCGAGCGUUAUCCGGAUUUAUUGGGUUUAAAGGGAGCGUAGGUGGAUUGUUAAGUCAGUUGUGAAAGUUUGCGGCUCAACCGUAAAAUUGCAGUUGAAACUGGCAGUCUUGAGUACAGUAGAGGUGGGCGGAAUUCGUGGUGUAGCGGUGAAAUGCUUAGAUAUCACGAAGAACUCCGAUUGCGGAGGCAGUUCACUGGACUGCAACUGACACUGAGGCUCGAAAGUGUGGGUAUCAAACAGGAUUAGAUACCCCUGUAGUC
rnacentral:rRNA from 1 species